UACGGAGGGGGCUAGCGUUGUUCGGAAUUACUGGGCGUAAAGCGCACGCAGGUGGCUGAGAAAGUCGAUUGUGAAAGCCCUGGGCUUAACCUGGGAAUUGCAGUCGAAACUACUUAGCUAGAGUAUGGGAGAGGGCAGUGGAAUUCCCGGUGUAGCGGUGAAAUGCGUAGAUAUCGGGAGGAACAUCAGUGGCGAAGGCGGCUGCCUGGCCCAAUACUGACACUCAGGUGCGACAGCGUGGGGAGCAAACAGG
rnacentral:rRNA from 1 species